AAUGAACGUUGGCGGCAUGGAUUAGGCAUGCAAGUCGAGCGAGAAGCUUUAGUUUGACGCUUCGGUUGAUUUCUAAAGUGGAAAGCGGCGAAAGGGAGAGUAACGCGUAGUUACCUGCCCCAGGGUCCGGAAUAGCUGCGGGAAACUGCAGGUAAUGCCGGAUAAUAUCCCCGGAUCAAAGGUGUGAUUCCGCCCUGGGAGGGGACUGCGUCCUACUAGCUUGUUGGUGGGGUAACGGCCUACCAAGGCAACGAUGGGUAGCGGGCGUGAGAGCGUGGCCCGUCUCACUGGGACUGAGACACUGCCCAGACACCUACGGUGGCUGCAGUCGAGAAUCUUCGGCAAUGGACGAAAGCCUGACCGAGCGAUGCCGCGUGCGGGAUGAAGGCCUUCGGGUUGUAACCGCUGUCAGUUGGGAGGAAGGCUCCGUGAAGAGCGGAGUUUGACCUAUCUUCAGAGGAAGUACGGGCUAAGUUCGUGCCAGCAG
rnacentral:rRNA from 1 species